GAUGAACGCUAGCGGCAGGCCUAACACAUGCAAGUCGAGGGAGAAGCCCUUCGGGGCAGAAACCGGCGCACGGGUGCGUAACGCGUAUGCAACCUACCUUUCACAGGGGGAUAGCCCGAAGAAAUUUGGAUUAAUACCCCAUAAUAUUGUUGGAUGGCAUCAUCUGACAAUUAAAACUGAGGUAGUGAAAGAUGGGCAUGCGUCCUAUUAGCUAGUUGGAGUGGUAACGGCACCCCAAGGCUACGAUAGGUAGGGGUUCUGAGAGGGAGAUCCCCCACACUGGUACUGAGACAGGGACCAGACUCCUACGGGAGGCAGCAGUGAGGAAUAUUGGUCAAUGGUCGGAAGACUGAACCAGCCAUGCCGCGUGCAGGAAGAAUGCCUUAUGGGUUGUAAACUGCUUUUAUAUGGGAAGAAUAAGGUGUAACGUGUAUCAUUGAUGACGGUACCAUAUGAAUAAGCAUCGGCUA
rnacentral:rRNA from 1 species